GACGAACGCUGGCGGCGUGCCUAACACAUGCAAGUCGAGCGAACGGACGAGAAGUUUGCUCCUCCGAGGGUAGCGGCGGACGGGUGAGUAACACGUGGAUAACCUACCUAUAAGACUGGGAUAACUUUGGGAAACCAGAGCUUAUGACGGAUAAUAUUUUGAACCGCAUGGUUCAAAAGUGGAAUACGCUCUUGCGUUCACUUAUAGAUGGAUCCGCGCUGCAUCAGCUAGUUGGCAAGGUAAGGGCUUAGCAACGCAACGAUGCAUAGCCGACCUGAGAGGGUGGACGGACACACUGGCAGUGAGACAGGGUCCAGACUCCUACGGGAGGCCGCAGUAGGGACUCUUCCGGAAUGGGCGAAAGCGUAGCGGAGCAACACGGCGUGAGUGAUGAAGGUCUUCUGAUCGUAAAACUGUGUUAUUAGGAAAGAACAUAUGUGUAAAUAACUGUGCACAUCUUGACGGUACCUAAUCAGAAAGCCACGGCUAACUACGUG
rnacentral:rRNA from 1 species